rnacentral:rRNA from 1 species
CCCUUAGAUGUCCCGGGCCGCACGCGCGCUACACUGAACGGAUCAGCGCGUUUUCCCUUCCCGAGAGGGACGGGUAACCUGCUGAACCCCGUUCGUGGUAGGGAUCGGGGCUUGCAAUUAUUCCCCGUGAACCAGGAAUGCCCAGUAAGUGCAAGUCAUAAGCUUGCGUUGAUUACGUCCCUGCCCUUUGUACACACCGCCCGUCGCUACUACCGAUUGAACGUUUUAGUGAGGUACUCGGACUGAGCCUCAGAAGAUUCACGUCUUUUGUGCUGCUCGGGAAGAUUCCCAAACUUGAGCGUUUAGAGGAAGUAAAAGUCGUAACA